GAGUUCUAGUGAUUGCUUAGGCUUGACCCGCCCAGCCGUCGGCUGUCCCUCCUCACUGAUUCUCAUCUCCAGUUUGUUGUGCUUUUUAACUUAAAGGGUGUUAGCAGAAAUGAUACACAUCCACUUUCAGAUUAACCGCUUCUGUAACCGGUUUAUUUACACUGACAUCGUAAUGGAAAUCUCAGUUGGCCGUUUUGGGGUUUUGAUAAGUGUAAAUAUCUGUCUGUGUACCUUAAUCCAAAUAUGUAACAUUUCUAUCCCUGGAAUUUCCUUCUAGUUUAACCUUCCUAGUCAUCUCCGUCCCCCGUCCGGCUCUUGUUUAUUAAUAUCUAAUUUUGCAUAAAUAGAAUCACACCGUUUAAACGGGGAUUAUUUUGCGCGAUAUUUAAAACGAUAUGUCUAUAGUACUGGUUUUGUUUUUAAGACAGGGUCUUACUAUGAAGGCCUUGCCUGACAUUCACUGUGUAUACCAGUCUGGCCUUGAACUCUAAGAGAUCCACCUUCAACAAAACAACUGGCUGCUGAUUAAUUUUUUAAAACUUUUCAUCAAAAACUUGAGAUCGGUGCUACUAUUACAUAUUGGAUGGCGCUCUAGGGCUGGCGAAAUGGCUCAUCAGCCUAAAAAUUUAGUUAUUCAUCUGAGUUGAUUUUCCUACCGGGAACCCAGCAGUCAAAACAAAGCCCUGAAUUGAAUCCUGCUGGUUGCUGGGAUUUAGCCAUAGUGGAAGCCAGUUGGUGGCAGCAGAAGAGGAAAGCUAGGAGACAGAAUGGCAGUGAGGAAAGCCGGGAUUAAAAAAGAUCAAGAUGCUCUUGGAGGACAGAGGUAUUGGAUCCCCUGAAGUUGCAGUUGCAGGCUAUGAGCCACCCAACAUAUGUGUUAAGAAUCAAACUCACUCUAGAAGAAUAGAUUUGUUUGCACUACAUAUCUUCAUGACAUGUCAGGUUACACAGAUGGAAACAUAGCAAUCGAAUGGAGACUAUAAUUUUAUCAUGUCCAGAGUUCCAGACGAGGGUUAGGAUUCAUCAAGGUCGAAGAAAAGGUGAUGGGGACUCCACCACUGGUUGUGCAAUGCUGUUAGUCCUGAUAGGCAGUGCUAUUUCUACUAAUGCUUUAUUUGUACAGACUACUCAAGGACAGAGGGAGCCUAAUCCUUUGUGUAUCUAGAAGUUGAGAAGAAGCCAAGUAGGUUCUCAUUUUCACUUAAGGGGGAAGGAGGAAUAACAGAUAGAAACUGCCUGACCCUGCCAUCACCAGACAUUUAUUAGCGUUCAUGCUGCUAUAAAAUUAAAAUUGUUAAGUGUUCCUUCUGUUGAGAAGGAAUUCACGAGGCUAAAGAUUAACCUUCAGAAGCUGUACCACAAAUGGAAGCUUUGAUUACCAGGUGAAGAAAAGUCUUUUCUGAAUCUUUUUUAGGAGUAAUUUCUUUUUCCUUUUUCUUUCUUACCCCCCUUUUUCUUUUGCUUGCACUUAGCUUUACAGUCAGUUGGAUAAAAUUUGUCCUUCCACUUUGUUCUACAGAUAUGACAGUAGAACAGUAUAAUUGGCCUUCAAGAAGCCAGUGAUCUUGGUCCUUCCAUUUUCAUUUUUUAUUGUAUAUGCCACAGCAUGAGCACCUUCUGGAGUAGAAUGAAUGCAUCUUCAGCAGCUGUUAUGUAAGAAAUAUGCACACUGUGAAAACAUUAUUUUUCUGAGGUUCCAGCAAUCCAGUUGUAUUAUCUGUAGGUAGUUUUAAUAUAUUGACAUAUUUUUCAUCUAAAGUAUAUACUUUUGUUUCAUUAUGAUGACUUUUAAUAUGUACUGGUUGUGAUGCUAUCUUGUUACACAUUUGACAAAGGUACUUCUAAAUUCUUUGAACAUCAUGUAAUUUACUGAGGCUGGAUGAAUUGGCUUACUAAUGUUCUGAUAUGAGGGAAGUAUACAAAAAUAUGCUUAUGAUUCUUAGGUUGAAAGACCCCCAGAGGCUCAGGCCCCCAGGAUCUCAGUCCAGGACUGCAGCCACCCCAAUCACCAGGUGGAGUC